GAUGAACGCUAGCGGGAGGCCUAAUACAUGCAAGUCGAGCGGUAUAGAGACUUCGGUUUCUAGAGAGCGGCGCACGGGUGAGUAACGCGUACAUGACCUACCUUCAAGCCUGGGAUAGCCCUGGGAAACUAGGAUUAAUACCGGAUGUGAUAAUAAGUUUGGAUAUUUAUUAUUAAAGUUACGGCGCUUGGAGAUGGGUGUGCGUCUGAUUAGCUAGUUGGCGAGGUAACGGCUCACCAAGGCGACGAUCAGUAGGGGGCGUGAGAGCGUGACCCCCCACACGGGUACUGAGACACGGACCCGACUCCUACGGGAGGCAGCAGUAAGGAAUAUUGGUCAAUGGGCGAAAGCCUGAACCAGCCAUCCCGCGUGCAGGAUGAAGGUCCUAUGGAUUGUAAACUGCUUUUAUCAGGGAAGAAACGCCUUCAUUCAUGAGGGUCUGACGGUACCUGAGGAAUAAGCACCGGCUAACUCCCGUGCCAGCAGCCGCGGUAAAGUCGAUAU
rnacentral:rRNA from 1 species